rnacentral:lncRNA from 1 species
AACCCAGGCCUGGUGUACCGUCACUUCACGCUCGGUUCUUGAAUCAGUCGAGGCAACGCCGUCGAGACGCGUGCUGCUUCCACCUUUCUUCGAUCGAUCGAUCGCCGAUCGCGAGUAGGUACGACGUAGUUUCGAUUCGUGACGAUUUCGAGCGAGUUUGGAAGUUUAAAGACGACGGGAUCUUUGGGAUUUGGUUCGUGACAUAGGAAGUGCGGCUUUGCUGAGCUUGAGAAAUCGGCUCAGGGAUUCUGAGAAAAUCUAAAAAAGCCACAGGAGCUAGGAAAAAGAGAUCAUGGAAUCCUGGUUGAGCGACGUGCAGCGCGUACGAAUUCCACGGCCGAAAUUCGGUAGCGGGAACUCGGUGAGACGGUCGAAUUCCACGGUACAGCACGUGCGACCGGAAGUGCUCUCGCGGCAGACCCAGGACGUGGCUAAGGCCACAGAAGAGUUACGACAGGCUCUCCAGGACAAGCUCUGACUGGCCGAUCAUCGAUGAGGAACCAGCAAAAAUUGAUCGAGCAAAACACAUUCGAGUUCGAGAGUCACCGUUGUAUAAGAUUCUGUACCAGACCGUCGCUUUGUCGCCUGUCCACUUUCUUCCGCCAUAACCAGAGAACGAAUCGUUGUUUCGUGUUAUUUCGUGACAUGUUCCGUUCCAGACUCGCGGCAAAGCCAUUCUUGCGAAAAGGACAAUAGAACUCGACGCUCGAGGAUGAAUGUUGCCGGACUUCCGGAUUUCGCCGAGUGAUGAUGAUGAACUGUGCUCGAGGAAAGUCGCGAAUGGGGGAAACGGAGCGUUUGGUACGUCUGUGAAGGUGGAUGCUGAAUAUUGUUGAAGCGUGAAUGUGGAUGACAGUGUAAUAGAACGGUGGUUGGUCGGAUUUUUCAGUGAGUUUAAUAGAAAUAUUCGUAAGCUUGGAAAUAAUUUUCAGAGCGAACGCUCAUGCAAAUUCGUGUUUUCACAAGCAGAUAGAAGGGCCGACAUAAAGAAUUCAAACUUGAAUAGGAGCAUUGAAUGAAACUACUCAUUCAUAUUGUUAGGAGACAAUAAUGUUCGAAUAACUAGCGUUCUAUUGCGUGUAGUCUAUCGUUUGAAACGUGUGUGAAUACGAGUCAGUAUUAGGAAUCAUAUUUGUUCUCUGUGAAACUACAUUCGGCGAGGCUAUGUACAGUUUGCCAGUAGUCGCUUUCUGUUACGAUUUCCAUAUCAAAACCAUGCUUCCUUCGAACCUUUUGUAAUUUAUGCACGCGACGUUUGUUUCUUCUUUCAAUGUUAAAACGAGACUGAAAGAUAAAAACCUGUUGAAACCGUAAA